GGAAAAGGUCCUCAUUCUUUGGAGCAAUAGAUUCACUCUUAGGACCAGGAAUGUAUUUGUGGCAUUGGAAAGAAUUGCUCCAAAUAAAAUAGUCGGGACAUGAAAAGUGGCACUUCUCUUGUUAGUGUCCUGCAUUGACCUUACUAACAUUUAAUGCCUGCUGUUCCAAUUUUCUAUAUCUGAGGGGAAACCAACCAUUCCAUCCCAGGGAUGGGGAGCCAGGCAAACUCCUCCCUUUUAUUUCCCUAUAAAAUAUCAUAUAAUUGAAUUCUGUUUCACUAGCAAAAACCCAGCCACGCCCUUUGUUUCCUUGCCCACGCAUCAGCCAGUUUCCUGGUUCAUAAGACUAGGUAUUUGUCUAGGGUUUCCAAAUAGCCAGUGCGAAAUGAGUUUGUCUGUCCCUUCAGGAAGAUCCUGCCUUUCAAUUCUCCCGAGGGGAUCAGAACAUUUUAUAAUGAAGAUGAAGCAUCUAAAUGGAAAGCAGGAAGCAAAAACAAAGAAAACAAUUAAGAAAACUUCCCCAAAACCAGGAUUCCCAAAUUCUAAGCAGAGCUAUCCAAUCAUAUAUAUGAAUUUACGUUCAAGAUGCAUUGGAAAAGCAAAUAUCAGUCGUAAUGUGAGAAGCUACCAACUGAAAAGGACACUGUAUACGAAUAAUCUGAACAUAUCUAGCAUUGAAUGUUCAGUGGAAUUUUGGCAGGAAAAGUGCUACACUGGCUUGAAUACAUUCAAAAAUAAGGCUGUCACCUUUUUUUUUGAAAAUGGAAACUAUGAGAUCUUUGUUGAAGAUUUACCUGAAAAUGAAGAGCGAGGUUUGCUGUACUUGGAAUACUUCACCACUAAAAAUUCAUACAGAGGAGAUGCUUUGGUGGUCCUGGCUCCUCAGCCCUCUGACAUUCGUCUUCAGCUGCAUGCCAAUGAUCAGAAUGAUCUUGAGCUUCACAAGCAUGAACACCACCACCAAGCUCAGAGAAAGAAAUUAUUCUUUAUGCAUUCAGAAGGGUCUGGGUUUGUUUCAUUUGAGUCUUUCUAUGCUCGAGGAUUCUAUAUUGGUGUAAAGGAAAAUCGCCUGGAACUUAUGAAGAAAAAAGAAGGUGACGAAGCCUUUAUGUUUAAACUCACUAAGUAAUUGGAUUUGAACUCUUUCGAUGGCUUCUUAGGCUAGGGAAGGUUAGUUGAAUAGAAAUCUAUGAUUUUCUGAGCGUAUAGCCUAAAAACAGACCCUGAGGAGCCUGAGAAUGCCCUCCAUUUACCAACAACAGAGAAAGCCUGGGAUUUUGGAGGGCUGAUUUCCACACUGAUGGGUGGAACCCUUUUUGGGAUCCUUUGGCUAUGGGUUUUUUUUUUACUUUGUUUUCUUUUGCUUUCUUUCUAAUCUUUGCAUGUUCGACAGAUAUAAUCCUGACUCUGUAGAACUACAGUGAAGUUAGAACUAACAGAAGGAAUGUCCUUUACAAAUCAGUGAUGGGUGCAGGCAAGUCCUCUAAAACAACAAACUCUGAUCUUUGAUUUCUUCCACAUCAUCAAGAAAUAUUUCCACACAUAAAGAAACGGUGAUUGGGGUUUCUUAGAGCCAAGGACAAAGCUAAGGCUUUCUCCUAGGAAAUGAGGGCCCAUUUCUAAAAUGCCAUUAAAAACAAUGUUAAGUUCAUAGAAAUAUAUUUUCCUUGAUUCCAUAACACUCCAUUAUAAUAACCAAUAAAGAAGAAUCAAUGGGGGCA
ensembl:lncRNA